CUGGGAGGUAGGGGGUCCCUCAGCCUGGAUUGCGAGAGGGCACAGGCUAGGCCGAGGGACCCCACUGGUGCACA
rfam:Myotis brandtii contig309651, whole genome shotgun sequence.